rnacentral:rRNA from 1 species
UACAGAGGGUGCAAGCGUUAAUCGGAAUUACUGGGCGUAAAGCGUGCGUAGACGGUAGCGUAAGUCGGGUGUGAAAGCCCCGGGCUCAACCUGGGAAUUGCAUUCGAGACUGCUCUGCUAGGGUGCGGAAGAGGGGAGCGGAAUUUCCGGUGUAGUGGUGAAAUGCGUAGAUAUCGGAAGGAACACCAGUGGCGAAAGCGGCUCCCUGGUCCAGCACCGACGUUCAGGCACGAAAGCGUGGGGAGCAAACAGG